rnacentral:rRNA from 1 species
CCUACGGGUGGCAGCAGUGGGGGAUAUUGCACAAUGGGGGGAACCCUGAUGCAGCGACGCCGCGUGAGCGAUGGAGUACUUCGGUAUGUAAAGCUCUGUCAGCAGGGAAGAAAAUGACGGUACCUGACCAAGAAGCCCCGGCUAAAUACGUGCCAGCAGCCGCGGUAAUACGUAGGGGGCCAGCGUUAUCCGGAUUUACUGGGUGUAAAGGGAGCGUAGGCGGCAGGUCAAGCCUGAUGUGAGAGCCCGGGGCUCAACCCCGGGACUGCAUUUGGAACUGGCCGGCUGGAGUGCCGGAGGGGUAGGCGGAAUUCCUGGUGUAGCGGUGAAAUGCGGAGAUAUCAGGAGGAACACCAGUGGCGAAGGCGGCUUACUGGACUGUAACUGACGUUGAGGCUCGAAAGUGUGGGGAGCAAACAGGAUUAGAUACCCGAGUAGUC